UACGGAGGGUGCAAGCGUUAUCCGGAUUUACUGGGUUUAAAGGGUGCGUAGGUGGUUCUGUAAGUCAGUGGUGAAAUCUCCGAGCUUAACUCGGAAACUGCCAUUGAUACUAUAGAUCUUGAAUUAUCUGGAGGUGAGCGGAAUAUGUCAUGUAGCGGUGAAAUGCUUAGAUAUCGGAAGGAACACCUGUGGCGAAAGCGGCUCACUGGACCAUUACUGACGCUGAGGCACGAAAGCUAGGGGAGCAAACAGG
rnacentral:rRNA from 1 species